GAUGAACGCUGGCGGCGUGCCUAACACAUGCAAGUCGAACGGAGUCCAGCCUUUAAGACCUUCGGGUCAAAGAGGGGAAGACUGAGUGGCGGACGGGUGAGUAACACGUGGGCAACCUGGCUCAUAGAGGGGGAUAACAGAGAGAAAUUUCUGCUAAUACCGCAUAAGCACACACUGCCGCAUGGCAGAGGGUGAAAAGAGAAUCGCUAUGAGAUGGACCCGCAUCUGAUUAGCCAGUUGGCAGGGUAAGAGCCUACCAAAGCGACGAUCAGUAGCCGAUCUGAGAGGAUGAACCGCCACAUUGGGACUGGGACACGGACCAAACUCCUACGGGAGGCCGCAAUGGGGGAUAUUGCAAGAUGGGGGGAACCCUGAUGCAGCGACGCCGCGUGAGUGAAGAAGUAGUUCGGUAUGUAAAGCUCUAUCAGCAGGGAAGAUAAUGACAGUACCUGAAUAAGAAGCCCCGGCUAACUACGUG
rnacentral:rRNA from 1 species